GAUGGUGAGUUGUAGCCGUGGUCUGGGUGAAUCGCGUUCCAUCCUCGUCCUUUGUACCUCUCUGCUUGCUGUGCUUGGGGGGCUGGCAAGAUUCCGGAUAAGGGGAACUGGUGGGCAGGAAAGAGGCAUGCGGUGGCCCUCAAGAGCGAGAAGAAUGACUGCUAACUGACGAAGGGAACGUCAUCGUUUGGAAAGCGUCGCAAUAAGACGCACACGUUGUGCCGCCGCUGUGGCUCUAAGGCCUACCACCUUCAGAAGUCGACCUGUGGCAAAUGUGGCUACCCUGCCAAGCGCAAGAGAAAGUAUAACUGGAGUGCCAAGGCUAAAAGACGAAAUACCACCGGAACUGGUCGAAUGAGGCACCUAAAAAUUGUAUACCGCAGAUUCAGGCAUGGAUUCCGUGAAGGAACAACACCUAAACCCAAGAGGGCAGCUGUUGCAGCAUCCAGUUCAUCUUAAGAAUGUCAACGAUUAGUCAUGCAAUAAAUGUUCUAGUUUUAAAAAA
rnacentral:sRNA from 1 species